rnacentral:piRNA from 1 species
UAAAAACUUCCGUUCUGACCUUCAAGAG